rnacentral:rRNA from 1 species
AGUGAACGCUGGCGGCAGGCCUAACACAUGCAAGUCGAACGGCAGCACAGUAAGAGCUGGCGCUUACGGGUGGCGAGCGGCGGAAGCGUGAGGAAUACACCGGAAUCCACUCCUUCGUGGGGGCUAAUGCCGGGAAACUUACGCUAAUACCGCAUACAACGUAUGGGUGUAAGCAGGGGAUCUUCUGACCUUGCGCGAGGGAAUAAGCCGAUGUCGGGUUCGCUAGAUGGCGGGGUUGAGGCCCUCCUAGGCGACGAUCCGUAGCUGGUCCGAGAGGGUGAUCACCCACACUGGAACUGAGACACGGUCCAGACUCCUACGGGGGGCCGCAGUGGGGACUCUUGCGCGAUGGGGGAAAGCCUGAUCCAGCCAUACCGCGUGAGUGAAGAAGGCCUUCGGGUUGUAAAGCCAUUUUGUUGGGAAAGAAAAGCAGCAGGUUAAUACCCCGCUGUUCUGACGGUACCCAAAGAAUAAGCACCGGCUAACUUCGUG